GGCCUGCUGGCCCAAUGGUAAGGCGCUCGACUACGGAUCGAGAGAUUGCAGGUUCGAAUCCUGCGUAGGUCA
rnacentral:tRNA from 1 species